rnacentral:rRNA from 1 species
AGAGUUUGAUCCUGGCUCAGAACGAACGCUGGCGGCGUGCCUAACACAUGCAAGUCGAGCGCGAAUGGAGCAAUCCUAGUAGAGCGGCGCACGGGUGCGUAACACGUGGAUAAUCUGCCUGGAAGAUCGGAAUAACCUGCCGAAAGGCAAGCUAAUACCGGAUAAGCCCACCAAGGACUUCGGUCCCAGUGGGAAAAGGU